rnacentral:misc_RNA from 1 species
GGGCACAGCGGAGGGGAGUAUCCCCGAGCGCGUCGCUCGUCAGCACGGUCCAUGACCCGGGCGUCGCGGCCCUCGUAGGCGGGAGAGACCUCCGGCAGCCGU